ensembl:lncRNA
CAAGCUUAUCCAGGCAGGGACUUUGUUUUGUUUAUUGAUGUAUUCCAGAGUCUAGAAUAGAGCCUGGGAUGUAGUAACUCAGGAAAUGAAAUGUUCUUGAGGAAAUGAUCCCUGGUGCAACCUGCAGGAAGUGCAAGAAGGGAGACCAAAGUCUAAGUGGGGUGGCCAUCUUUUGCCUGACCAAAUCCUAACUCUCUCCUGCCAAGUAUGCAAAGCUUGUGGGACUAGCGGUCAUCUCAGUGCCACCUGUGAGCCAGCCUGGUUUCUGGACCCCUGGCCGGAGUCGUGACCGGCACAGCCUUUCAGUGGGCUUCCUAGCCAUCACGAAGCACUCGUUUUUAGCAGAGGAGAAAGACUGUUGGCAGAGGACAGGAAUAGCUUUCCGAGCUGUUCCCCACUCGCUGCACCAGGACCUCCAUUUGUUUGCCCAGUGGCUUUCUCAGGCUACAGGAACCUGUUCAGCAGAUGCACCUGAGGUAGACCAGAAGUACCACAGAAUGGGUAGGUCUACUCUGGCU